CGUGCUGUAGUUGCUAACACGUCGGACUCGUAAUCCGAGUUCUGCAGUUCGAACCCGG
rnacentral:tRNA from 16 species